GCCUGUCCCUGGAAAUGCUGGACAGCUGAAGCCACGAUGACAAAGGAGAAGAUUAGAGGCAACUGAGACCUAACCAAGUCACGGACCUGGAAGAUGAAAAGGAAUGGACAGUUUACCACCCAAGUACAGGAAGGACAUUGUGUGGCAGUGAUUGCUGCACGUUCAACAGAAGCCACAGCCAGACUACAGUUCCCAGCCUCCCUCGUAGUGAGAUGAGCCAUCGGGAUGUGGCACAAACGAGGUUCAUCACUUGCCGUCCCAGCCUAUAAAAACCUCCCACACAAUUCUCCUCUCUUUAGCUUCCCAUCUAUAGGACAGACACUAAGCAUCCUGCAUAGGACCCAAGGGCCUAGUGGUGACCGAAUCACAGGGAGCCCAAGUACCCAAACGACCCUUCCACCAAAUGGGUGGAAGGCCACCUGUUGACCCAGAAUAUUCUUACUGGAUUACAAGUGAGUAAUGCAGAGUUGACUCACACCUCUGAGGAGGGGACAUUGAACAGCAGUGCUGAUAUCUCUGGGAGCUCCAUGAUGCUUAUUCUGGGAUUAGGGAAAAAACUGGAAACUGGAACCAACUGCUUUUAGAACCAGGGACUGUCACCAGGUAAAGAAGUAGUGCCCAAGUGACAUUUACAGGUAUAGCAAAACAAAACAACCUCCCCCGGAACCAUUAACAAGCAACAAACCAAAACUAAAAACCAGCCCAGGAAGCAGCAUGUCCCUUAUCUCUCCUCCAUUCUUGCAGUCUCCUUCCAGAACCUGCUACUGGCAGAACCUUCAGGAAGAAGUUGGCAAAGUCGAAUAUGCUUUGCAGAAUUCCAGACCCACUGUCACAAAACUGAAUAUAGAAAAAUGGCUUUCCAGUAAAGAGGCAAUAACUUAAUUACCAGCAUAAGAAGACAUAUACUUUCAUUGUGUUAAACCACUAAGAUAUUUGGUAUUCGUUACAGCAGC
rnacentral:lncRNA from 1 species